rnacentral:lncRNA from 1 species
UUGAGGUUUGUUUGUAAUAAAUGAGUUGGGAAUCUUUUGUUCUGUUUCUAAUUAAGGUCAUGGCUAUUUGAAUUAAUAUAUUUAACAUCAUUUAGUGUUGGCAGUAAGCCAGUUUACAAUUCUAUGAACCAUUGUCAAAUAUGAGUUGAUGUUUUUCAUUGUCUAUGCUUUUUAUUGAAUUUGACUUUUAUAUUUGGUACUUAACUAAUUUAUUUAUUGGUUCUUUGUCUUCACUUUUCCUGCAACUCAUCUAUUAACUAAUGGCUACUAAGGGACCAAGUUCCAAGCUUGAG